rfam:Otolemur garnettii contig010880, whole genome shotgun sequence.
GCCUGACAUGGUGGCAUGCACCUAUAGUCCCAGCUACUCAGGAGGCUGAAACAGGAGGAUCACUUGAGUCCAGGAGUUCUGGGGUGUAGUGUGCUAUGUUGAUCAAAUGUCUUCACUAAGUUCAGGAGCAGGGAGUCAACAGGUUGCCUAAGGAGGGUGAACUGGCCCAGGUCAGAAAUGGAGCAGGUCAAAACUCCCGUGCUGAUCAGUAGUGGGAUCACACCUGUGAAUAGCCACUGCACUCCAGCCUGGGCAACAUAGCAAGACCCCAUCUCUU